AACCUGGUUGAUCCUGCCAGUAGUCAUAUGCUUGUCUCAAAGACUAAGCCAUGCAUGUCUAAGUAUAAGUAUUAUACAGCGAAACUGCGAAUGGCUCAUUAAAACGGUUAUAAUUUAUUUGAUAAUCGAAUUUACAUGGAUAACCGUGGUAAUUCUAGAGCUAAUACAUGCUGGUAGGCCCGACUUUUUGGAAGGGCGGUAUUUAUUAGAUAACAAACCAAUAUUCCUCUGGUCUAUUGUGGUGAAUCAUAAUAACUGAUCGAAUCGCAAGGUUUUUAACCGCGAUAAGUCAUUCAAGUUUCUGCCCCAUCAGCUUUCGAUGGUAGUGUAUUGGACUACCAUGGCUUUUACGGGUAACGGAGGAUUAGGGUUCGAUUCCGGAGAGGGAGCCUGAGAAACGGCUACCACAUCUAAGGAAGGCAGCAGGCGCGUAAAUUACCCAAUCCUGACUCAGGGAGGUAGUGACAAGAAAAUAACGGACCGAGGCCUUCGGGCUUCGGGAUUGCAAUGAGCCGAAUUUACACCCCUUAGCGAAGGAUCGAU
rnacentral:rRNA from 1 species